GAGUUAACGGAAGUUAAAAUAAAACGGGUUAUAACUCUCGGGACCCACUAAGUAACUAGGAAUAUCAACCUAGUUAGUUAAGUGUUUUAAAAUAAUGAAGGAACUUGAUAUAGUAACCUUUUUAUAACUUUUAGAAACUAGAGGGACUAAAAGGGUUAAGUGAGAAAAUAAUUAUUAUUAAAACAAAAAUUAAAAACCCAAAACACACACUUGGUGUGUGUUCUGGUCGUAGAUUACACAGGGGGCGAACAAGGUUUCUUCAACCAAACCCUAACUAGCUAAAAAUCAAGCAAUUGGAAGGCCAAAUCAGUCCCAAAUCGAAAUCCAAGCUUAUUUUAGUGAUCACCUAAGCGAAGGGAUCACAAGUUUGACUCUGACAAGCUUGGUAGGAGCUUGGAAAUGAACGGGUCAAAUGGAUACAAGUUCAAGUAUGAAGCUCACAAGGAUGCAAGGUAAGUAAAGCUUACACCCAAUUUAAAUGUACGUGUUUAUUUUAUAGGUGAUAAAUAUGACAAUGGAUUAUGUUUAAAAAAAAAUGGGUUCCGACAUGAACCGAAAUGAGUCGGAAUAAAUAAAAACUAUCAAAACCAUGGUUAAUGGUAAAAAGAGGCAAAAUGGUAAUUUAGUCAUGAAUUGACUAAGAAUUUAUAAGUUUUCUUAAAGUUACCUAAUAGCGUAACUAGAAAUGGGAAAAAGGGGUAAAAAGGGUAAUUUAGUCACGUGAUGACUAAAUAUAAGUUGAGAUUAAAUGGAUACCCACGGCGUAAGCCGAAAUGGGUUAAAUAUGUAAGAAAAAGGAAAUUUUGUGGUAAAAUCCGGAAUGGGUAGUUAAAAACCAUGCUUUGAAACAAAUGCGAAUGUUUGGUCAUAUAGGCCAAAUGGGUCAAAUGGUGGUGAUAACACCAUUUGACAAUAUUGACUAACGUUGGUUGUUAAGUUGUAUGUUCACAGGAGUGAACCGGAAAUGGAUAAUUGCGUCGCUAUAAAGUAACGGCUAAUAAAAGCAAGGUAUAAAACGAGUUUAUAUAUUGACCCGAGCCAGGUACGCAUAAACAAGCUUUUAGUUAAACGUACGAUUCUUGGUCAAUUAAUUAGCGAAAGUCCUUCAUUGUAAAAUGAAGGAUUAAAAUUGACCAAAAAGCCCUCGUUGGGUAAAGCGGGCAAACGAACCCUAGAGAUUGUUUAGGAACUUGUAUUAUGAUUAUGUAACCCUUUUGAUACGCAUAAGAAUAUAGGCAUAAACUUUCGUGGGUCAAAUGCCUAAGAAUUGGUCUUUUUAGUAAAAUGACUAACCGAAAAAUAAUACUCGGGAUAAUCGGUUUAUUGUAUUAAUUCACCACAAAAAUAGUUGUGGUGAAACAUAAGUAGACAUCUUAAAUGUAAAAAUGUGAAGUACGAAAAGAGAUGAGUGAAAUUGAUGCUUAAAUGCAUAAAAACCGUUAAACGGGUCAAAAUAAAGCAAGUGAUUAAGAUUGGCUAAGUGUUGGAAAGUUUCAAAAUAAACCGGUGAAUGUAAACACGAAUACAAACCUUGUAAUGGAAGCGAAAAUGCUAAUUUUUGGCAAGCCCGGAAUGGGUAAAAACGAUAAGCAAUGAAUAUUGUUAAUAAACUUGUAGUAUGAUGUUAAAAGUAACGGGUCAAAUAAUCACACAAAGGAUUUUUAAGUCGUUUGCUUAUAAAUCAGAUUUUUAUGCAAACCGAGGUGAUAAACGGAUUCGUAAUUUAAUUACGGAAGCGUGUAAAAAAAAGAAUUACGCGAAACGGACUUGUAGAUAAAAAGUAUGGAACUUGUUUAUACUUGUUUUUAAGUUAUCAAAACUAACCAUUAAGUUGGUUUUUGAUGUUAGGUGAAUGUAGCUACCAUCCGGGUGUCGAUCAAGCAAUGAAGUGAACCGAACACUAUGCAGUUACAAGCUUCCGCACAUAGUUUCGUCGUUAUUUUUAAACGACGAACUCAACUAAUUACGUUGUAUUGUUCUUUAAUUGUAAAAGUUUUAAUAAACCCGUAUUUUUCAAUAUAUGUGUAUCCAUAAUUACAUAUUUAUUUUCGUAAACCA